ACGACCUCAACUCAAGCAAAUUACCCGCUCUGCCCCGCAUAUCAGUAAGCGGAGGAAAAGAAACAAGCAUUGU
rnacentral:rRNA from 1 species